rnacentral:rRNA from 1 species
AGUGUAGGCGGCAUGACAAGUCUGGUGUGAAAUAUCUCGGCUCAACCGAGAAAACGCACUGGAAACUGUCAAGCUUGAGUAUCGGAGGGGAAGCUAGAAUUCCUGGUGUAGGGGUGAAAUCUGUAGAUAUCAGGAAGAAUACCGGUGGCGAAGGCGAGCUUCUGGCCAGAUACUGACGCUGAGAUGCGAAAGCGUGGGGAGCGAACAGGAUUAGAUACCCUGGUAGUCC